AAUAAAGUGCCUGAAAAAAGGGUUAUUUUGAUAGAAUAAAUUACAUAAUUUUUAAUUAUCUUUAUUA
rnacentral:tRNA from 1 species